rnacentral:rRNA from 1 species
CCUACGGGAGGCAGCAGUGGGGAAUAUUGCACAAUGGGCGAAACCCUGAUGCAGCAACGCCGCGUGAGGGAGGAAGUAUUUCGGUAUGUAAAGCUCUAUCAGCAGGGAAUAGAAAAGUAGGUACCUGAAAAAGAAGCCCCGGCUCACUACGUGCCAGCAGCCGCGGUAAUACGUAGGGGGCAAGCGUUAUCCGGAUUUACUGGGUGUAAAGGGAGCGUAGACGGAAAGGCAAGUCAGAGGUGAAAACCCAAGGCUCAACCCUGGGACUGCGUUUGAAACUGUCAAACUAGAGUACGGGAGAGGUAAGAGGAAUUCCGAGUGUAGCGGUGAAAUGCGUAGAUAGUCGGAGGAACACCAGUGGCGAAGGCGGCCUACUGGACAGAAACUGACGUUGAGGCUCGAAAGCGUGGGGAGCAAACAGGAUUAGAUACCCUUGUAGUC